rnacentral:rRNA from 1 species
GAUGAACGCUGGCGGCGUGCCUAAUACAUGCAAGUCGAGCGAACGGACGAGAAGCUUGCUUCUCUGAUGUUAGCGGCGGACGGGUGAGUAACACGUGGAUAACCUACCUAUAAGACUGGGAUAACUUCGGGAAACCGGAGCUAAUACCGGAUGAUAUUUUGAACCGCAUGGUUCAAAAGUGAAAGACGGUCUUGCUGUCACUUAUAGAUGGAUCCGCGCUGCAUUAGCUAGUUGGUAUGGUAACGGCUUACCAAGGCAACGAUGCAUAGCCGACCUGAGAGGGUGAUCGGCCACACUGGAACUGAGACACGGUCCAGACUCCUACGGGAGGCAGCAGUAGGGAAUCUGCCGCAAUGGGCGAAAGCCUGACGGAGCAACGCCGCGUGAGUGAUGAAGGUCUUCGGAUCGUAAAACUCUGUUAUUAGGGAAGAACAUAUGUGUAAGUAACUGUGCACAUCUUGACGGUACCUAAUCAGAAAGCCACGGCUAACUACGUG